GUAAUAUAAGAACCCGUCUCUUAACUUUUAACUAAAAAAGCUAAGAACCGGUUCUUAAAUAAGAGUUUUAAGAGCCGGUUCUUAACUUUUUUAGUUAAAAGUUAAGAGACGGGUUCUUAUAUUCC
rnacentral:pre_miRNA from 1 species